rnacentral:tRNA from 1 species
UAGCUUGGUUGGUAGCGCGUUCGCCUUAUAAGCAAUAGGCCGCGGGUUCGAUUCCCGC